AUGGCCACACCCUUUAUAUGGGCGUGCUUUGAAAAUUCCCAACUUUUAGUAAGUGCAUAUAAUCAAGAAAAAAUGCUAUUACUCACAAAAUGGUCCAGGAGUCGUUAGACAUGCUUUUAGAUAACUUGAGAGAGAGAGAGAGAGCUUGCAAAGUCUUCCCCAGUCCCAUCUGUAGGCAAACCAGUCACAGAAAUGAAAAAUCAUGGCAUUUGACGGAUAAAAGCAGUAACUUUUGUGCUUUUAGGACUUGCUGUUGUACUGGCUUUUCUACAAGGACAGAAUAUUAGCUACCGGAUGUACAAGGGUGACAGUCUCACUGAUUGCCCGUAAAACUCAUAAUCGCUACAUCUAAGUAGAUUCUUUCUCCAAAAGAUCAAGUAUUAACAUGUUCCAAAGAGCUCCUUCCCAAAAGUACUCCUACAUUACUAACUCGUUUACAUGUAUUGGAGGAAAUAUUGGAUGUAUGUUUCAAUUUAGUCCCCAAAUAAUACAUUUAAUUUAGAUGAAGUUUCCAACAUUUCAAAAUUAUCGGAGUAGUGUCUAUAAAAUAUUUUAACGAUAGAUUUUAUGUGAUUCACAACUUAUCA
rnacentral:lncRNA from 1 species